AGUUCCAUUACAGCUGUAUUCGAUUUCAGCAACUUGUCCCUGUUCUUCCCUUCCCUAUGCUUUUUCUUUUUUCUUUAUUAUUAUUAUUUUUCAAUUAUUCCAAUUCAUUCAUUUAAAAUCACAAAGGAACCAAUAAUAAGAAAAUCAAAUUAAAUAUUUGCUUUCGUUCUUAGUUUCAAUUUUCGAUUUUUUAAUUCAAUUAUAUCUUCUUCGUCAUUGCUCUCCGUUCCAUCGCAUUCAAGCUCUUUUCGUCGACUCUCUCCGGCUCUUUACCCCAUUACCCAUUUGCCUUUCUUUAUCUCUCUCCUUUCUCUAUUGGGUUUCUUAAUUCCUUCGCUUUUCCCACAAAUGUAAAGCUUUUUUUUUUUAUGGUUUCGAGGCUUUUCCGGUCACCGGAGUUCAAUCGGAACUCGAAUUCUAGGGGUUUAUAUGUCAACCCAUCGAGAGAUCCCCUCAAUUGUGGUUUCUGCAAGUAGAGUUAGCUCCAGGGAAUGUCGUCGUUGUUGAACUUUGUAGACCAGCUUUAAGGACCCAUUUGGUGAUUUGUUGAAAAAAAGGAAACCCUUUUUUUCUUAGUUUUUUUUUUUUUUUUUAUCAAGAAACUUUUUAUUGGGUUUGGAGUCAAAAUAAGCAUUUCUUUUUCUAUUUUUUUUGGUGGGUGGGGGAGGGUUGAUUUUCUGCUCUGUUUCUUCGACAUUUCAGCUUUUUCCUCUUCUAAUUCGCCCGGGGUGGUGGUGGUGGUGGUGGUGUUGGUGUUGGUUAGAGAGAUAAAGCUUCAUAUAAAGUGUCCUCAAGCCAAUAGAGAGUCAAAAUUUUACAUCAAUGUUGAAGGAUUUGUGACCUGAAUGGACCCGCAAGCUUUUGUGAGGUUGUCCAUUGGAUCCCUGGGCUUGAGAAUCCCAGUAGCAGCUUCGAAGACAGCACGAGAUGGAAUCAAUUCAUCAUCUUCUCCAAUUCUCUGUGAGAUACGUCUCCGUGGCUUCCCUGUUCAGAUGGCAUCAGUUCCAUUAAUAUCCUCCCCUGAAGCUACACCAGAACUUAGCAGUAUUGCAACAAGCUUCUAUCUAGAAGAAUCUGAUGUUAGAGCACUGUUGGCACCUGGCUGUUUCCAUCCCUCUCAUGCAUAUCUAGAGAUUUCUGUUUUCACUGAGUCUCAGGGCUUCAAUUGUGGUGUCGGCAGCAAGAAGCAGCAGAUUGGGACAUUCAGGUUGCAGGUUGGUCCUGAGUGGGGGGAAGGGAAGCCAGUGGUACUUCACAAUGGAUGGACUGGUAUCGGCAAAAGCAAGCAGGAAGGAGGUAAAUCUAGAGCUGAGCUACAUCUAAGAGUGAAAUUGGAUCCUGAUCCAAGAUAUGUUUUCCAGUUUGAAGAUGAGACAGCAUUAAGUCCUCAAAUAGUUCAGUUGCAAGGCUCCAUCAAGCAGCCCAUUUUCAGUUGCAAUUUCAGUUGUGACAGGCGAGCAUCUCAGCGAGACCCAAUGAGCAAUUACCGGUCAAACUCAGUCAAUGGGAUGGACCAGGAGGCUGAGAGGAGGGAGAGGAAGGGCUGGAAGUUAAUGAUUCAUGAUCUUUCUGGCUCAGCAGUUGCUGCUGCUUUUAUGGCAACCCCCUUUGUGCCGUCUAUGGGCUGUGAUCGUGUAGCCCGAUCCAACCCCGGCGCCUGGCUUAUUGUCCGUCCUGAUGCAUGUGGGCUUGAGAGUUGGCAACCAUGGGGCAAACUUGAGGCCUGGCGUGAACGUGGCAUUAAAGAUUCAAUAUGUUGUAGAUUCCACCUCCUUUCUGAAGGUCAGGAAGGGGGAGAGCUCCUUUUUUCGGAGAUCAUGAUCAAUGCUGACAAAGGUGGAGUGUUCUUCAUUGACACUGAUAAGCAGACGCAAUCAGGAACGCCUGUGCCAAGCCCACAGAGCAGUGGUGACUUUGCAUCUCUGAGUCCUAUUGUUGGGGGUUUUGUGAUGAAUUGUAGAGUGCAAGGAGAAGGGAAGAGUAGCAAGCCAUUAGUUCAGCUUGCGAUGCGGCAUGUAACCUGUGUGGAGGAUGCGGCCAUCUUUAUGGCUCUUGCUGCAGCUGUGGAUCUCAGCAUUGAGGCUUGCAGGCCAUUCCGGAGGAAGGGCAGGACGCGGUCACGCCAUUCUUUUUAAAAGGAUUGAAGAAUAUACUCAAGGUUUAUGAGCAGCCAGUCUUGUAAAGAGCACUGUAGUGCACGCGGCCCCCGCUACUACAAGAUCUGUGAGGAGUAAAUGUACAGAGUCUUACCACAUGCUUUGCGAGAGAGAGGCUGGUUAAAAAAGUUUCAAAUCUGUGAUCAACAUGUUGCAAUAGUGCAACUUAACUAUUGCGUCACAUGCACACCCACUAUUGACAUGAAUUGACUAGACACAAAUCAGAUUUCUUACGAGCCAAGCUCUGUGAGAUGGAGAAGAUGAUUGUGACAAAGAUAACAAAAGGAGAAAACAACUGAAUUUUCAUCAUCUAGUGACUUGUUUGUUCCUCUGUUAUUUUUGAAAGGAACAUUGGAUAUUUUCAAAUGGUGGGGUACACAGGUUGUAAUUUUCAAAGCUUUUUGUUGGUUAAUACAGAGCAUGUCAUGUGAUACAUCCAAUAAAGCUAACCAACUCGCUAAACUUUACCUCA